GUUCAGAACACCACACUCCGGACCCGCUGGAAGAGAGCGUUCUGGGGACAGCAGCAGGCGAAGCCCACGCAGCCUGCGCACGGAGGUGAUUCUCCAGGGGACAGCUACAUGAGACAUUGUGAUCACCGGCUCUCGUCCUGCUGAGGCACUUCAACCACACUGAUAUCUGCUGGAAAAGUAGCACAGUGAGCUGGUGAUCCAGGAGACUCCUGGAAUAUAUCAAGGAUAAUUUCCUGAGCCAGGCUUUGACUGGAUGGUUCAGAAUGUGGAAACUGGAAGAGAGAUGCCACUCCUGCUAUAAGUGAAGAUCAGAUUCAUGACCUCCUGAGGAACAUGAACACCCAUAAGUCUAUGAGCCCUGAGGAGAUGCAUCCCGGAGUCCUGAAGGAAUUGGCAGACAUAGUUGCCAAGCCACUCUUGAUGAUCUUUGAAAAGUCAUGGUGGUCAGAUGAAGUCUCUGGUGACGAUGACAAAAGGCAAUAUCACACCCAUAUUUAAGAAGGGUAGAAAGGAUGACCUGGGGAACUAUGAACCUAUUAGCUUCACAUCUGUGCUGAGGAAGAUAAUGGAACAGAUCCUUCUGGUAGCUACGCUAAGGCAUCUGGAAGAGCAGGAGGUGAUAUGGGGCAACCAGCAUGGCUUCACCAAGGGGAGGUUCUGCCUGACCAACUUCAUUGCUUUUUAUGACGGUGUAAGUGUGUCUGUGGACAAGGGAAGAGCCACUGAUGUCAUUUAUUUGGACUUCAGUAAGACCUUUGCCACAGCUUCCCGUAACAUCCUUUUCUCCAAAUUGGAAAGACAUGGAUUUGAUGGGUGAACUCUUUGAUGGACAAGAAUCUGGUUUUGAGAUUAAGAGAUGAGGCUCCUAGGACCAGCUACAUGCACUCUGUCUGGGGCAGCUUCACAAGCUAUUGUGAAACUGCUUUUCUAUGUGUUUUCUCAUUUCCAAACCAAGAAACAAGGUAAAAGCAUUGAAUAUGAUCUUGGACAAGAAAGGUUCUCUGUAGCACUGCACUGGUGAAAAUUGAUAGCAAUGGAGCUGUGUCAUCACUGGGAUUACUUUUGCCCUGAACAGUCCUUCGCAAAUGAAAAAUAAAGCAAAGAAAUGUUCUUAUUUUUUAUCUCUGCUUCUGCAUAAAUGUAGUUUACAUACCACUAUACUGCAUUUAUUAAUGUAUGAAAUUUGUUAAUUUUGUAAGUGUCCAUGGGCUUUCAGUUGCUUUAAUGACAAUUGUUAUCCAUAAUUGCAUUUCAAUCAUUCUAUUGCAUGUACAUGCUUCUUACAAUAAUACUAAUAUACUCUUCUGUACACUUACUGUAAUACACGUACUAAUCAACACUGUAUCAACUGUAUCAACAAUUCUGUAUAUACAUCUUUAAUCAGAUCACUGUCAUGUACUUCCUGACAAGUGCUAGUUUUAAGCUUAGUAACCAGUGGCUUUCAUGACUCAGAAUGGAGCAUAAUGCAGUAUUACCUGAUUUUCUUUGUGACAGAGAUUUCAGUCUGUAUGUUUUAGAGGAUCUAGGGCACUGUAGGUAACACAGAACAAGAUCAUUAGCAAGUACUAUUGUAUUAGAAACUUUUUAGUGACAGCAUUUCUUUCUUCAUAGAUAUUUGUUCUUGCUUACAGAAAUUACACAGAGCGGAAAUGAUCUCACCUUACUUGAUAACACAGAUAUCCAGAUCUAAGCUCGUCAUUCCCUAGGGUGUACAUGCCUCUGUCCAUAGUGAAAAACAGACAUUUUAGAGCUCUUUGAAUAUGACCUAUUUUAGAUGCUUACACUAGAAUGGAAUGAAUCAUGCCUUAGAAUGCUUUUUUUUCCCCGUAGAAAACAGAGGGAGACCAGAGUGAUUAGUCCUGAUCCAGUUCUUUGCACUGCAGUGAUGUACAUCUGGUCAAUUCUUACUACUGAACAAAAAAAUGCUGGUUAUAUAAUUAUGAGGGAAAAGUAAAGAAGCAGCUGAACCUGUGAAUCUUCAAGAUUAAAAAAAAAAAAAAAGCCAUUGCUUUUCUUCACAAAAAUAACAAACUGGACUAUGAUUCUAAGAGUACUUAAUUAUUUUUAGUUAAGUUAGAUGAAAGAAUUUGAAGUUCAUAAGUAAACAGCUUUGCAAUAAGUAAUAAUUCUAGAAGUAGAUAUUACCAAACCUUAAGGUUACUGUAUGUCAUAUGAAUCAUAUUAAUCCAGUCAAUAAAGCAUUCUCUAAUUCCAGUAGCUAUUAAUUAAAUUAAUUUGUUCUAUUUUUCUUUGCUCUACCCAAACAUUACUUUUACUACUCUUGAAAAAAUUAUUUUUUAAAGUUUCUAAAAUUCUAAAAUAUGUUUGAAAUUUAAAGUUUAAGGUGGAUUUUUUUCCAUUUACAAGUAAAUGACAAGGGUAUGUACAAUUUGUUAGAGAUCUAUCUGAAGGUAUGUGUUGAACCUGAUUUCAAGUAUCUAUUGUAUUAGCUUAUCAGUUUAGGAAAAGAUUUCAGCAUGCCGAAUGUGUACAAACAGUGAGAUCGCUUCAAAUGGCUUUGGCCAAUGGGUGAAGAAUUUCUUUAGCAUUUGACAGUUCUGCUCUAGUGAUGAAGAGGCAGGAAGUCCUUGGAAUGAACUAUUGGAUUUCAUUUGUUUUGUAACACAGGUUUUUUAAAUUCACUCAUGGGCUCACCAACACGAUCUAGAUAAACAUCAAUAUAUUCAUUAAACUUUGAAUUUGAACAAAGUUACUGGAUCAUCAGGUAGAAGAACUCUAGAAAUAACAAUACAUUGCAAAUAAACUCUAGGUAAGUAAAAAUCCAAUGUUAGAAAAUGCCUUUCCUAUUGUUGAUGUUAUUUAUUUGUUUCCUUUACAGAUUGAAGGCAUUUGCAGUGUUGACCAGUUCUCCUCUGCUUAUAUAAACUGUGACAACAAAGCAUGUGGACUAGCUAAAACUUUCUCACUACCUAUCACUGUGGAUAGGAAAACCUGUCAUGCAGGCCUUUAAGCAAAUCCCUCAAAGACUUAAUCAUGCACAACAUCAGAGGUUCUUGUUGCAUGUGUGUCUAUACCAACCAGGGACUUAAAGGAAACAACAAUCCAUGAGAUAUGUAUCAUUUGCUACAAAUUAUGCAACCGUGCCAAAUGCUUGAAUACCUCUGAAGCACAUCGCGUUAUGCCAAGGACUCCCCACCUAUCUGAGCCCUGUAGAUCUCAAGAGUAAUUGAAUUUGUUGAUGCAGUUAUAGAGUACAGAAUUCUUCCAUUUAUGUGGCUAGCAACAGACUCACAGUUCUCUUAGUAUUGGAUGUACUUAAACUGCAGCCUUCUUGUCCUCACUUGGUUAUGGCCACACUGCCUCUUUUGCUGAGUAUGGCAAGAACUAAUUAAUUUAAGAAUUAAUGCAAGAGUAUGUCUUAUAAAGAUGUCCCUCUAUAUGUAAUACACAGCAUUUCUACCACAACAGAUGUUUUGUCAAAGGUUUCAAAAUGCAUAUGUAUCUCCAUUUUACACGCAGUCUUCAGAAAGACAUCUGCACACCUAUGUGGUUUCCAGGAUUAACUUGCUUUAGCGUUCCUACCUUCUGUAGGAACAACUGAGGGAUUAUCAUAAGCAUUAUGGUUUCUGGUCACUUCUGGAUCUUUAACCCAAAUAACGUAUUUCUGAGUUGGUUAUGGGUAGCCUUCACCACAAAUUAAAAGCAGCUCUGGUAUUUAUGUAUCCUGAUGGAUGGCAAAAUGUCCAUCCAUCUCUUAUUCUGUAAUACAUAUCGUCUCCAUACAAAGAUGAUCUUCCUCGAGUGGCUAGUGUCUAACAUCAUUAGCACCUAUAGCUUCGGAUAUGAAAACUAAAAUACUUCAGUGUGCAAUACCACAGUCUCACUUCCUGUAAAUGUAAAAUAACCCUCAUAUGAAAUCUGCCAAAUUGCUCUUGAUCACUGUUGUCCCUGUCUCCCAUUCUACCAUUUAGUGCAGAUUUAUACCUAUCCAAUGUGGCAACUCCUGCAUGGCCUAAUGAAUAGAACACAGCUUUAUUUUAAUGGCAAGUACAAGAUAGAAAAAAAAUGAUGGAAUGAUUUUCCUGGCUCAUUUUCAUUAUGCUUCAGCUUUGGACUGAACUUUAAAAGGUAAAUCACCCAACUCUUGACUACACAAGCAUUUAAAUAACUACAGAGAUUCUUAGCAUUUUUUACCUUUGGUGACUGUGGAUUCAUGUUGACUUUAAACUGACUUAAGGGUAUUAGAAAAGAAAUUUUCAGGCAAAGAUAAUACUCUGUUGUGGAAUGGAUAUUGAGCAAUUAGGGAAAGAAGAAUAUUUUAUCAUUCUUGUCACAGAGGCUAUUUCUUGGGCAAUGGCUACCUGCUCCUUUUUAUCUUUCCCACCCAUGCCAUAUUGCAGCAAAUGUGGCCGCAGGUGCCUACACUGGAUGAACACCUGCCCAAUCUGCGCAAGAAGGAAAGGAAAUCAAGGGAUGUCAUGCUCACUAGUUUUGUGUACUCAACUCAGGAGAGUGACAGAAAGGAGAAAUGAGAAGACAGUUAAAUUUAGCAUGAUUAAGAAGAGAGAGUAGAAGAAAAUGGCUGUGACCUUCAGAAGCAGCUUUUGCAGGAGAUGGAGAGCAGGUAAGUCUAAACACACUUUUUUCAAAGGCAGAACACCACUUUCUGUGUCUGUCAGCCUUUCUAUAACAAUGCAUCUACUACAGUGAGCUGACAGAAACCUUACAAAGUUCAACAGAGUCCUGCACCUAGGGAGAAACAAGCACAGGCACCAGGACAUGCUGGGGCCACCCAGCUGAAAAGCAGCUCUGCAGCAGAGGACAUGGGGACAGAGUGGUGGGGACACCACUCUGGACAUGAGUAAGCAGCGUGCCCUUGCUGCUAAGAAGGCCAAUGGUAUCCUGAGCUGCAUUAGGCAAAGAAUUGCCAACAGGUCAAGAGAGGUGAUCCUUCCCCUAUACACAGCCCCAGUAAGGCUGGAGCAAUGUGUCCAGCUCUGGGUCUCCAGUAUGGGAGAGACACGGAUGUAAUGGAAAGGGUCCAAAGAGGCAUAACCAAGAUGGUCUGGGACUGGAGCACCUCUCCAGUGAGGAGAAUCUCAUCAGUGUCUGUAAAUACCCAAACAGAAGAUGCAAAGAAGAUGGAGCCAGGCUCUUCUCAGUGCUGCUCAGUGUCAGUACAAGAGACAAACUGUAACACAGAGGCUCCCUCUGAACACCAGGAAGCAGUUCUGCACUGUCGGGUGAUGGAGCACCAUCAUGGGCUGCCCAAAGGCUGUGGGUUCUCCUCCUUGGGGAUCUCCAGAAGCCACCUGGUUGUGGGCCCAGGCAGCCUGUAAAUCUGUGUAGUGGCUUUUUACACCAGUUUGCAGGUAAAAUUUUGUCCUUUCUCAUUCCAUGUUGCAAAACAACAAAUAAAAUAUGUUUUGUGUGAAACUACAUAAGCUCAUUCUUUUACCCUCAGAGAUAGAUCCUUUAUAUAGUUCCAUAGAAUAUUUAUCCCUGCUUUCUUGCCUUAACUACCUUAUAAUUUCUGCAAUUAUUUUUGUAACAUUACUAUAUAAAAAGCUUUACAGAAUUCAAUAAAUUCCCUG
ensembl:lncRNA